CCGGGAGAUCUUGUGAGCGCGCGUGCGUCUGAUGUUGCUAAAAACAGUAAUUUGUCACCACCUACUGGCGUAACGAAGCAGAAAGAGUCACCAGACAACCCCCCUGACAGGCUGUACGACUCUACUGUAUGAGGAAAGGGGCAGUGAAUGCAAGAUUAAUUCUUUAUGUUUCUCUCUCUCCAGUAAAUGACAAGCAUAAACCCUAACACAAGUCCUGGAGCUGCUCCUGCACGAUCCGCUGUUAUCACACAUGCACGCUGCUCAUCAGUGCUGAUCUCAGGCUGACACACGGGCUCACCGCAGGGCACCACUUCAUCAGACACACCGCGUCUGAUCCACUCCUCCACAGGGGACAAUAAAGUCACCGCAGACGCUUGGGAGCUGCUGACCACUGAGGCACAGUGAUGGGUCACUUAAUAAAGUGAAGUCUGUUGGAUGUGUAGGUGAGUGUCACAGUCCUGUAGCUCCUGGGGUUUGGCAGAGCGCACAGAUGAAAAAUGGAGCUUACAGUCUUGUCAACAGACGCUGCCCAAUUAGUGCCCUCAACACUAACCUGAUCAGUCUAGCAUCUCCAACAGCAGAUGAUUCACCAAAUGCAAUGUUUUAGAGACUGGAGAAAUGCAAGGGAACAAAGUUUGGCUGGUUAAAGGAAUAGCUAGCCCAGAAUAACAAGAAUUAUUAACCCAGAAUUAAGAUAUUUUUUAAAGAAGUUUUUAACCACAAACCAUUGCUUCUGGCCAAAAUAGUACCUAAUCCAUAAAAAUGUUUCCUCCAGUGAAAAAGUCCAUCCCCUGUUGUCCUCUCAUAAUAAAGUCUGUACUGAUGAGAGUGCUUGAUCUGGGUUUGUUUAUUACAAACACACCGCUGUUCACAAGACGUAAACUGGUGGACUUGAGUUGUGUGAAUUACUUCUGGUUUAUUGUGAUGUUUUUGUGUGUCUGUGUGCGUGUUUCCAUCUCCUCAUAUAUUUUUAGAGGACCUCCUCGAAGAAAUAUACAAAAAACAUAUGUAUGUUCCAGAUAGCCCUUUCACUGUGAUGUUAAAGCAGCUGCUGAAACAGACGAGUCAUCUGUAUAUCUCACUUGUGUUCAGUCCCAGUGCCACUAUUCAUGUUUAUUCCUCUUAAUUAGCUCCCUAUCUUUCCCUCUCACUCUCUUUCUCACUUUAUAAUAAGUGGGUCACUGGCAAGGGCUCAGAAAAGCCUGGUGCAGAUUAUUUUUAGAACUAAACAACUGUUGGCUAAGAGGCACAUUUAGUGUUACGUCUAGUCUGUGUGGUUAAUUUGCAGUGGAAUAC